UUCAGCUGAUAGGGUGGAUGGGGUUUAAUAACCGUGCAUCAUUAUAGUAGCGGGCAGUCUAGCUUUAAGACAUGCCAAACCUCUCCGGCACCGCUUCUUUUUCUGCAAUACAUGUACUACUUAGUUCGUUUUAAACAAGCCGGAGCGCAAACCUGCUGUUCAAGUGGAGGACGGGAGGGAGCGGAGAGGGAGCUGUCAUCGCCGGGGAGCCGAUCCGCCUCUUUAGCUUAAGUGUGGAGGGGAAUUAACUCCGCGGCAACACAAGGAUCCCCUCCAGAGCGGAAAGGUGACGCCUCGACAUGAUUUAAAGGUGAAAUGACACGUUUCCACCCUUUAAAGUCCGGACGGUGUCUGACACAACCUCUCAGCCGGGAGAGUUAAGCGCCGCGCCUGUACGUUUGGAGCAAUCGCUGGGCACAGGACAGCCCCGCAUCCGCAGUUUCACAAACCUGAAGCGGGAACUUGUGGGAAGCCCAACGGCGAUAUGGAUGGAUUUAAGACAGCGUGAUGAUUUCUUUGGAUGAGCACUAGUAAGGUUUCUUUUCUGCUGGCCGGAUUAAGCAGCUGCACCCCACCAUGUCCUGGUUCUGGUGCUUGUGGAUUAGCGCCAGCGCCAUCAUGCUUUGCCGGGCCACUCUCUACAACACCAUCCAGCAGCACCACCUGCCCAGGCCUGGCCGCAACGCCAUCCAGAUCCUCGAGGGUGGGACGUGCGAGGUCAUCGCCGCACACCGGUGCUGCAACAAAAACCGCAUUGAGGAACGAUCCCAGACGGUGAAAUGCUCCUGUCUGCCCGGGAAGGUGGCCGGUACGACAAGGAACAAGCCGUCGUGCGUCGACGCCUCCAUCGUCAUUGGGAAAUGGUGGUGCGAGAUGGAGCCCUGUCUGGAAGGAGAGGAGUGCAAGACGCUGCCAGACAACUCCGGCUGGAUGUGCUCCUCCGGGAACAAGAUCAAGACGACCAGGGGCCGACGCGCACCCAGCGGCUGGUCGACCGGCUCGCUGCCUGUUUCCUGCACCACGGUGAACGCACCUGUCAGUCACAGCUGCCAGUAACACCGAACUGCCGAAGCUGCAUCAAAAGCGUGCGGCAACUGCCAACUGGUAAACAUGCCGGGCUCAUCAGCAACACACCAGCUAAUUAUUCCACACCCGCACAUCAAAAAGGGCCAGACCGCUAUGUAAACUCUAAAUAAACACGAGUGGAUCGAUGAAAAGUCCAUAGCAAGGCACAUUAGUCACACAUCUUGAAGUCCAAACCAUCUGUACGGGCCGGCACCUGAAUAAAGCUUUACUUGAUCUUCGACACCACGCUCAGAGCUCCAUCCUCCGAGUGUGUCAGUGAAAAAAGGGUAUCUCGAAAAGUCAAAAACUGGGUGUCAACAAACUGGGGGUGGUCACUCUUUCCAGGAAUUUCCAUCUAGAUGUAGGGAGUAUUACAGUAAGUCAGAAACAGUACUGCUGACCAUACAACGCUUUACCAAGCAGCGAGUGUAAUAUGGAACAUGGUGACCCAUAAAACUGGAGCAUCAGACAUGCCAAAAACCACCUCAAUCUCUGACCCAAUUGGACCUUGCACCCUCUUCUUCAUUCUGUCGUUUGUGAGCACAUAUUUUUGGACACACGAAACGGUGAAAUCAGUCUUGAAUCAUGACUAGCCAGCAAACGGUUUCUCAAAGCUGUCCCCGAGACCAGAUAACGUGAACAGAAGUUGACUGGAUACCAUUUUUUCGACAUGUCAAGGUAAGAGUCGCAAUACUAAUCUUCAAAGCCUGAAUUGUUUGCAUAGCGCUUUAACGCUUUAACAGAUGUGUGUCUGCUUGUGAUAUCGUUUGAUUGCCUUUGAAGAGAAGUGUUUUGUACUCUUUUGUAACUCUGUGAAAGAUAACUUUGAAGCACGUAGGUGGGGACCUCUUGUCCUCAUGCUUUAAGGUGAGGAAGGUUAAAAGAGCAUGAAUAAUACACACAUGUGACCUAUGACCCUCACCCCUGUGGCAUUUCCUCUGCAGAACACCCAGCCAUACUCAUCCUUUUAGUUCUGGAAGCAAAGUUCAAGGAGGGAUGAAUUGACAUGGGGCAGCAUCAUUGCUUCUAAAAAGAUUCAUCCGCGGACCUAACAAAGAGCUCGCUCGCAGACGAUGAACACCGAUUCAGCUGUUAAACGGGAAAAAACACCAUUCCAACGAAGGAGACCUGACAGGAUUAUUUGGCUCACCGACUUACCCGAAAAGAGGAUAUCGCUCACGGUGGAGCAGCGGAUCUGGGUUUGGCUCUAAAGAUUUCACAUCUUGCUGACUGAUCCUUCCUGACAAACUGGUCCAUCGCCGGGGACUAUUCCACAACUGUUGCCUCUCGAUCUCUGCGCGUGCUUCUCCACCUCUUUCGACUAACAAAGCUUGCCAGGACUAGGUAGAAAUUGUACAGGCUCAUCCCAAACACCUACCCAUGCCACUCCACCUCAUCCUGGGUAAGCGGGAUGGCCCAGGCUGUGAUUUCUCUCACUGUUCAGUCGUGGAAUUCCAAAGGAUCCCCAACGCCCUUAAAGAAAGCUGAUUGAUGGCGUACGUGAAACUGGCAAGGUAAUCUGCCAUUCCCCCGCUUCCAGGCCUGAGACUCAACAGGCCGGCUUUCCUGGACUCCCAGAGGACUCAGGACUCCUGGCUGCUCCACUGACCACCACCAGGAACAAGAUGAGAGCGGCGAGUCUCAGGGCCAUGCGGGAGGCAGCUGGAGGCACGCCAGCACACCGACCCCCACCCUGUCAGCUUGCACCGACCGUCUCAUUGGAGCUGUCCUUAUAUUAACAAACUCUGUAUAUAAACACCGGAAAGUUCUUACAGUGACAUGGCUCGCUGGGACGCCCCAUCAGACGGUCCUCAGCGACACAGUAACUUGUGACGUAUUAUUCUCCCGUUCUGACAUGUGUCGGUCCCCGUCUGUGAGUGGAACGCCCCUCAUUUCUCUUGGACCAUUCGAGGUCUUUGCUUGCAUCGAGGAAUUUCUAAAACAGCCUACAGGCAAACGUGUUGUCUCGUUUUUCGAUCGAGUGCCGUGUUUGAAUCCAGAGAACCUGUCUAGUAUUUGCGAUAAAACACUGUACAGAUGAAUCUCACAAACAGAAGCAGACAGUGAGGAAAGGAAGUCUUCCCAUGUCCUCGUGAAACAGGUCGCAUAGUAACUAGGCCCCACGUUAGCGGUAUAAUGACAUUUCAAGCUGUUGUUUCUUUUUAACGUGUGACAUUGAUGCAUUAUGUUGACUCAUGCUUGUUUGUUUGUAGUUUUUACUCAAAUUCAGGAAGAGGAACUGAAUGUGAAAAAUAAAAUUGUGGGAAAAAAACC